rnacentral:ncRNA from 2 species
ACUGAAUAUGUCGUAUUACGUCGUAUAAUAUCAGGGAUAUGGCCUGAAAGUUUCUACCGAGCUGCCGUAAAUAGCUUGACUACGAGGUAAAUGUUUAUAGGG